AAGCGGCGGACGGGUGAGUAACGCGUGGGUAACCUGCCCUGUACACACGGAUAACAUACCGAAAGGUAUGCUAAUACGAGAUAAAAUACUUUUAUCGCAUGGUAGAAGUAUCAAAGCUUUUGCGGUACAGGAUGGACCCGCGUCUGAUUAGCUAGUUGGUAAGGUAACGGCUUACCAGGGCGACGAUCAGUAGCCGACCUGAGAGGGUGAUCGGCCACAUUGGAACUGAGACACGGUCCAAACUCCUACGGAAGGCAGCAG
rnacentral:rRNA from 1 species